GUGGGGAAUAUUGGACAAUGGGCGAAAGCCUGAUCCAGCCAUGCCGCGUGUGUGAAGAAGGUCUUCGGAUUGUAAAGCACUUUAAGUUGGGAGGAAGGGCAGUAAGUUAAUACCUUGCUGUUUUGACGUUACCGACAGAAUAAGCACCGGCUAACUUCGUGCCAGCAGCCGCGGUAAUACGAAGGGUGCAAGCGUUAAUCGGAAUUACUGGGCGUAAAGCGCGCGUAGGUGGUUUUGUAAGUUGGAGGUGAAAUCCCCGGGCUCAACCUGGGAAAUACCUCCAAAACUGCAUGACUAGAGUACGGUAGAGGGUAGUGGAAUUUCCUGUGUAGCGGUGAAAUGCGUAGAUAUAGGAAGGAACACCAGUGGCGAAGGCGACUACCUGGACUGAUACUGACACUGAGGUGCGAAAGCGUGGGGAGCAAACAGGAUUAGAAACCCGAGUAGUCC
rnacentral:rRNA from 1 species